rnacentral:rRNA from 1 species
AGCAUAUCAAUAAGCGGAGGAAAAGAAACCAACCGGGAUUGCCCUAGUAACGGCGAGUGAAGCGGCAAGAGCUCAAAUUUGAAAGCUGGCUCCUUCGGGGUCCGCAUUGUAAUUUGCAGAGGAUGCUUCGGGAGCGGUCCCCAUCUAAGUGCCCUGGAACGGGCCGUCAUAGAGGGUGAGAAUCCCGUCUGGGAUGGGGUGCCCGCGCCCGUGUGAAGCUCCUUCGACGAGUCGAGUUGUUUGGGAAUGCAGCUCUAAUUGGGUGGUAAAUUUCAUCUAAAGCUAAAUAUUGGCCGGAGACCGAUAGCGCACAAGUAGAGUGAUCGAAAGAUGAAAAGCACUUUGAAAAGAGAGUUAAACAGCACGUGAAAUUGUUGAAAGGGAAGCGCUUGCGAUCAGACUCGCCCGCGGGGUUCAGCCGGCAUUCGUGCCGGUGUACUUCCCCGCGGGCGGGCCAGCGUCGGUUUGGGCGGCCGGUCAAAGGCCCCUGGAAUGUAACGCCUCUCGGGGCGUCUUAUAGCCAGGGGUGCCAUGCGGCCUGCCCGGACCGAGGAACGCGCUUCGGCUCGGACGCUGGCAUAAUGGUCGUAAGCGACCCGUCUUGAAACACGGACCAAGGAGUCUAACAUCUACGCGAGUGUUCGGGUGUCAAACCCGUGCGCGCAGUGAAAGCGAACGGAGGUGGGAACCCUUUGGGUGCACCAUCGACCGAUCCUGAUGUCUUCGGAUGGAUUUGAGUAAGAGCGUAGCUGUUGGGACCCGAAAGAUGGUGAACUAUGCCUGAAUAGGGCGAAGCCAGAGGAAACUCUGGUGGAGGCUCGCAGCGGUUCUGACGUGCAAAUCGAUCGUCAAAUUUGGGUAUAGGGGCGAAAGACUAAUCGAACCAUCUAGUAGCUGGUUCCUGCCGAAGUU